UAGGGAAUCUUCCACAAUGGACGAAAGUCUGAUGGAGCAAUGCCGCGUGAGUGAAGAAGGUUUUCGGAUCGUAAAACUCUGUUGUGAGGGAAGAACAAGUACGAGAGUAACUGCUCGUACCUUGACGGUACCUCAUUAGAAAGGGACGGCUAACUACGUGC
rnacentral:rRNA from 1 species